CCAUUGCUAACAGCCUCUCUUUAAUGAGGGCAAAAGUUUCAAUAAAGGUUAGCAUAUUGAAGGAGUCACUGUCAUAACCCAGUUCCCCGAUCUUUGCUGUAACUAUUGUGCACCAUUUUGAAUGGUGAAGUUGCGCCCCUGGAGUCCCGCAUAGCAGAAACCGGACAGAUGAGGGUGAGGCUUUUACGGACCAGGAGUUCGGAUUUCUUCUCUCAGGCGGUUUCUUCCCCUUUGUUAUCUCGAUUCUUCUCUUCCACAUUUUGCCACCCAAGACAGAAAAAGGGAAUGCAGGUGUCCAGGCUGUUUAACAUUCCUUCACAGGGCUCUUGUGGUGGUGGGGAGGAAGAGCAGACUGUACACCAGUGCUAUACACACUGCUCUUUAAACUCCUUGGAGGAACAGGGUGACAAAAAUAAAUGUGAGUGAACGUGCGUGCGUGUAAAGUGCCACCUGACUUACAAUUACCUUGUAACCCUGUAGGAAACAUUCAGAGGUGGUUUGCCCUUCGUGCUUCCAUCUGGCUGGAAGCUUCCUAUGCAAGAGCACCCAUACCCAUACAGGUGCACAGGACCCAUACAAAUAGGACCUGCGUGCUGAAUUUUUUUUCUGCCACGAGACUUUCGUUGGAGAGGAGUUUAUUUAUUUUAUUCAAUCCAUUCAAUGCCAUGUCGAGUAAUAUUUGGGGGAUUUUUAAAAAAACCCUUGAUCCAGCAGUUGAGAGCUUGUGAUUGGUAAUGCAGUAUAAUAUGUUUUUGUGUGGAUUAUCGGGCAGACAUUUGAAUGAUCUCCAGCUGCUCGUGGGUGAUACUUUUGUUUGUAAGGAACAAGUAGAGAACUUACUAAAGAGAAGGGCUUCCAGGAGACAGUGGGUUGCUGGAAACAGGAAGCUGAACUAAGCCAGUGGUGAUCAACUCCAUCGUGUUGUUAAAGAGACUUCCGUCAUACUCUAUUGGACAACUGGAGGCAUCUUCUCUUGUGAACCUAUUUUUACAUCUGAAGAUGCCUCUACAACAGGGGUGUCCAACUCUGGCGCUUCAGAUGUUCGUGGACUACAAUUCCCAUCAGCCCUGCUGUAGGGGGAUUUCUAUCAGGGGCUGAUGGGAAUUGUUGUCGAGCAGGGGCUGAUGGGAAUUGUAGUCCAUGUACAUCUGAAGCGCCAGAGUUGGAUACCCCUACUCUACAACUUUGGACACACUUUGUGGCAACACAGCGAUGGUAAUAUUAUUCUGGGAUAAGUAGACCACCGGGCUCCUCUGGUCUGGGUUUUCUACGAACUCAUACUUUAAAAAACCAUCCUGGCAGUUGUCUGUCUUUUAAACAUGAUUGAUCUUAAAUAUCCCCUUUUAAAAUAAAGUAUGUUUAAAAAUUGUGUCGAUGCAUAAUUUCAAAGUUAACUUAACGUUGCUGCGUUCUUCAGGAGACUUGGUUAUCUCUGUAGAUCCUGUAAUGCAAUCCUUACCACCCCUCAAGACUUUUUAAUUCACUUCAAUUUUUCUCUUUUUAAACUAACAAUAAAUUGUCCAAAAGUCAUAAUUCCAGAGAAGCGUGUUGUAUUCAUUGAUACUUGUUGACCGAUGCGUGGAUUGUCUUUCCCGUGGUCUCGGUUGUGUGGGGCUGGAGAUUACUGGGAAAUGAAUAAACAAUUAAGCAAC